AUUCACCUGUCAAGUGAACCAUCCAAGUUCAGAUGGAAUUUGCAUCAGAAUGAUAGCUUUUCAGUCAAAUCCUUGUAUGGUGUAUUGGUCCACACUGAUGUUCCGGUUGAUAACAAGAAACCGUGGAAGCUCAAAAUUCCUUUAAGUGUGGAGAUAUUUCUCUGAUUUCUAAACAGAGGGAUCAUCUUAACUAGAGAUAAUCUGGCACAACGCAACUAGCAAGGUAGCAAGACAUGUGCCUUUUACCAACAUGACGAGUACAUUAAACACUUAUUUUUUGAGUCUAAAUUUGUUCGUGCAGUCUGGGCCAUAGUUCAAGUAAUUUCAAAUUUAUAUCCCCCACGUAGUGGACAUAAUAUGUUCGGCAAUUGGUUGCGGGGUAUUUGA
rnacentral:rRNA from 1 species